UGGACAGCGAAGGCCUUCUCCAUCUCCAUUAUCCAGUUAUCAGCCUCCAAAGGUUCAGUAGUCCCCUUGAAAGCUGGAGAAGCAAGCUUUUUAAAUUCUGAAAUAUUGUUCCAUUGUACUGGUUGCUCUCCAUGUUGUGGUGGUGGAUGCUGAUGUUGUUGUGUAUCUCGUUGCAUCUGCUGUUGUUCAAGCAUUUGUUGCUGUAUUUGUUGUUGUGUUUGUACCAUCUCGAUUAGGGUCUACAUUAACUGAGCCAUAUCCGGUUCCUGACGUGCUCUUGAAGUACUUCCAUUAGGAUCUACGACUCCCUCC
rnacentral:lncRNA from 1 species